rnacentral:misc_RNA from 1 species
CGUGUACCGUUAGCAUCUGGCCUGGGAUAAACAUAAAGAAGAUCGUUGGAUGCAGUACAGUAUAGAAUGCACUUCGUGAAAGCUAAUGUUUUUUGUUUAAAUAUUAAUCAUUAACAACGUGGUGCAAGUAUUGAAUUUUUAGUAAUAAGAAAGUGCAUACUCUGCAUACUCUGCAUACUCAGCUUGGUUAAAUCUUACGCAGUUGGAGAACAUGCAUAACGAUAUGUCACAGCAUUAUUUUAUUUCUCAUAAUCGAAUGGUACAUACUAUGCUUAGAGAUGAAUAUAACAGUCAUCAGAGUACGUCAAAAGAGAUUUCUACUCAAGAAAGUUUAGACGACUCAGAAUAUCCUGAACUUGGUCAGAAGAAAACGAAAAUCAAGAGUACACCGGAUCAAUUUGUUUCUCAUCAUAAAUCUGUUUUUGCAGAAACUAUGAUAACCUGUGCUAAGAAUAAAGAGAAAAGAUGUAGAGAAUGUUUUGAAAUGGUGUUGAUGGCAUAUUUCAAGUCAGUAAAAUCUAAACGGACUACUCAACACAUAUGCGAGCAAAUACAAUCUCGUAAUUUCAAACUCAACAUUUGCAAACCAAGCGUGAGUGGAAGUAAUAGGAAUAAAUCUAAUGAAAUGAAUAUCCCACUCAGAAAAAAUAGAUUGUCUGAUGCAAUGUUUAAAAAACCGUCGAGAUUAAAGAAAACGAUUAUAACAGAACGUAGAAAUAAUAUGAAAAUGAAACAUCAAGACGAUGACAACGCUGAGAAAAUAUAUGAAAUUCAUGCAAAUGUGAAUAGUAUUAAUUUAGAUAGUUUAAAGAUACAAUCAGAUCCAAGAGUCGACAUAAAUUAUGUCAAACAUAUGUCAACAUUAAAUGUUUAUGGUACGAAUUACAGACAUUCUACAGCGGAAAAUAUUUCAGACAAUACUGUACAGUACUGUCCAGAUUUGACUCAAAAGUUAAACGAGUUAAAAAUUUCUAAUGUUCAAGAUAAGAAAUCCGUAUUAGAAGUUCUUUUUGGAAAUUCAGUUGAUGCUGUAAAUAAUUUAAUUUUUCCUUUCAAUUCGUCCCUAAAAUUGUCUCUUACCGAUGAGAAUAAUGUAAAUAUUAAACCAAACAUUAAUCAUUUGUAUGACGUUAAAUAUUCCAAAAAUUUUAGAGAAUAUUGUAAUAAUUUAGUAACGUUAUCUCUUAACGAAUCCUUGGAUAAAUUUUUAUCCGAAAUUCGAAGACUACAAAGUAAACUUUAUCGUAGAGAUGAAAAUAAAGGCAAGUAUAAACGUCGUUAUUAUUCAGGCUUAAAGGAGGUACAAAAACACGUUAUUUUGAAAAAAGUACGAUUCGUCGUGAUAGCACCGGAUAUUGAAAAGAUUAUAUCAGCAGGUGGUUUAAACGAAGAGGUCGACAAAUUAUUAGAAAUGUGCAGAAAGAAUGGAACAGUUUAUUGCUUUGGCUUACGUAGACGGAAACUUGGCUAUUAUGCCCAUGGUAAUGGAUUCGUAAGCUGCAUAGGAAUCUCUAAUUACGCUAAUGCCGAGGAACUCUUUUGGAAUGUUCUCGUCGAAGUAGUAAAAGCGCGAAACGCGUUUGAAAAAUUACAUGGAAGGUUAAAGGAAAUGGUCGAUGUGUCCAAGUUAACUGAAGAAAAUGGUCUUUUGAUGGACAACAUUGACGCUGUGUUAAAAAGCUUAACGUCGAUAAAUUAAGGCAAGCAAUCUUCAAAAAUUUUCUUCUUAUACGUUGCGAAAAUGAGAGAGAGAGAGAGAAAGAAAGAAACAAACAAAUGCAACUCUUUAAAUUUGCAUCUGCUUAAUUCUGGUAAUUCUCGGGGAUAUAGGAGCACUCAUUCUUCGAAUCGAGUAACAUGAUCAUGUAGUUUGAUAAGGAUCCAAAUAUUCAAUCUACGACAAAAACAAAGGAUAGCCACUAAAAUCAUGAGAGAAUGGGGACAGAGACCCAAGCAGAUCAGACCCAUUGCUAGAACGAGCAACACGAAAGGGGAUAGCUGUAUAUAUUAAAUA